rnacentral:rRNA from 1 species
GCCAGACUCCUACGGGAGGCAGCAGUGGGGAAUAUUGGGCAAUGGGCGCAAGCCUGACCCAGCAACGCCGCGUGAAGGAAGAAGGCCUUCGGGUUGUAAACUUCUUUUGUCAGGGACGAAGCAAGUGACGGUACCUGACGAAUAAGCCACGGCUAACUACGUGCCAGCAGCCGCGGUAAUACGUAGGUGGCAAGCGUUAUCCGGAUUUAUUGGGUGUAAAGGGCGUGUAGGCGGGAAUGCAAGUCAGAUGUGAAAACUAUGGGCUCAACCCAUAGCCUGCAUUUGAAACUGUAUUUCUUGAGUGCUGGAGAGGCAAUCGGAAUUCCGUGUGUAGCGGUGAAAUGCGUAGAUAUACGGAGGAACACCAGUGGCGAAGGCGGAUUGCUGGACAGUAACUGACGCUGAGGCGCGAAAGCGUGGGGAGCAAACAGGAUUAGAUACCCCGGUAAU